rnacentral:rRNA from 1 species
CAGUAGCCGCGGUAAAACGAAGGGGGCUAGCGUUACUCGGAAUUACUGGGCGUAAAGGGCGCGUAGGCGGCGCUCCAAGUUAGGCGUGAAAGUCCUGGGCUCAACCUGGGAACUGCGCUUAAGACUGGAGUGCUUGAGGAUGGAAGAGGGUUGUGGAAUUCCCAGUGUAGAGGUGAAAUUCGUAGAUAUUGGGAAGAACACCGGUGGCGAAGGCGGCAACCUGGUCCAUUACUGACGCUGAGGCGCGACAGCGUGGGGAGCAAACAGGAUUAGAUACCCGCGUAGUCCCUGUCUCUUAUAC